ACAAAAAAUCAAAUUGGCAUUUCUUCAACCCAAAAUUAGAAAUAAAUAUGUCUCUGAAAACGUCUUAUCAAACUGAAGAAAAUGUACUAAAGCUUAUUGAAGCUAUUCAAUCCUCAGCUUGGGAGAGCACACCCGAACUAAAUAAAUCCACUCAAAAACGGCUGAACCGAUUUUCUUGAAAUUUUCACAGAUGGUGCAUAAUAAUCCCGUGGUGAAAAUAGGAUACUACAUUUUUUGAUAUCUGAAGGGGAUCACGGAAUCACGCCCUUACCCUAAUUUUCAGAAACGCCAGAUCCCGGAGAUGGGUGGUGCGAUUUAAGCGAAAUUUUGUGUGCUCUCAUAUAGAACCCUAAAAAUAAAAAUUUGGAUGAGGUACCCCAUCCUGCUGCCCCACCCUAAAACUUACCAAACAUAUAUUUAGACCAAUCACGACAAUAUGGGACUCAAAUGAAAGAAUUUUUUCAAUGUCCUGAUGAGACCUACCAGAAAUUUUGAAUGAUUACGUACAACAUAUUAUACAACCAAUUUUGAGAGCAGUGAUCUUCUUCGUCGUAUAUCAAUUCAACAUUCUAUAAUAUCAUA